rnacentral:misc_RNA from 1 species
UCCGCGUUGAUCGCGGCGGUCCCGCUAGAUCAUUCAACUAACGGCAAGGGUUGCGCUCGUUGCGGGACUGAACCCAACAUCUCACGACACGAGCUGACGACAGCCAUGCAGCACCUGUGCAACCGCCCUUGCGGGACACCCCAUAACGGGUGGUGCAGUUGCAUGUCAAACCCUGGUAAGGUUCUUCGCGUUGCAUCGAAUUAAACCACACGCUCCGCUGCUUGUGCGGGUCCCCGUCAAUUCCUUUGAGUUUUAAUCUUGCGACCGUACUCCCCAGGCGGACCACUUAUUGCGUAAGCUGCGGCACGGAAGGGGUCGAUCCCCCCCACGCCUAGUGGUCAUCGUUUACGGCUAGGACUAC